GGGUGAUAUGAUGGCAUACCAUCUUUCGGGACUGACUCUUGAAAUGGAGAGUUCUUAUAUUUCACACUGAUCACAC